rnacentral:rRNA from 1 species
CCUACGGGAGGCAGCAGUGAGGAAUAUUGGUCAAUGGACGCGAGUCUGAACCAGCCAUGCCGCGUGAAGGAUGACUGCUCUAUGAGUUGUAAACUGCUUUUGUAAGGGGAUAAAGUGCGGCACGUGUGCCUGUUUGUAUGUACUUUAUGAAUAAGGAUCGGCUAACUCCGUGCCAGCAGCCGCGGUAAUACGGAGGAUCCGAGCGUUAUCCGGAUUUAUUGGGUUUAAAGGGUGCGUAGAUGGGUUGUUAAGUCAGUGGUGAAAGUUUGGGGCUCAACCCUAAAACUGCCAUUGAUACUGGCGGUCUUGAGUACAGUUGAGGUAGGCGGAAUGUAUGGUGUAGCGGUGAAAUGCUUAGAGAUCAUACAGAACCCCGAUUGCGAAGGCAGCUUACCAAACUAUAUCUGACGUUGAGGCACGAAAGCGUGGGUAGCAAACAGGAUUAGAUACCCUAGUAGUC